rnacentral:rRNA from 1 species
AUGACGCUGGCGGCAUGCUUUCACACGCAGUUCAACGGCAGCACGGACUUCGGUCUGGUGGCGAGUGGCGAACGGGUGAGUAAUACAUCGGAACGUGCCCAGUCGUGGGGGAUAACGUAGCGAAAGCUACGCUAAUACCGCAUACGAUCUAAGGAUGAAAGCGGGGGAUCGCAAGACCUCGCGCGAUUGGAGCGGCCGAUGGCAGAUUAGGUAGUUGGUAGGGUAAAGGCCUACCAAGCCGACGAUCUGUAGCUGGUCUGAGAGGACGACCAGCCACACUGGGACUGAGACACGGCCCAGACUCCUACGGGAGGCAGCAGUGGGGAAUUUUGGACAAUGGGCGAAAGCCUGAUCCAGCCAUUCCGCGUGCAGGAUGAAGGCCCUCGGGUUGUAAACUGCUUUUGUACGGAACGAAAAGGUCCUGGUUAAUACCUGGGGCUCAUGACGGUACCGUAAGAAUAAGCACCGGCUAACUACGUGCCAGCAGCCGCGGUAAUACGUAGGGUGCAAGCGUUAAUCGGAAUUACUGGGCGUAAAGCGUGCGCAGGCGGAUGAUGUAAGACAGAGGUGAAAUCCCGGGCUCAACCUGGGAACUGCCUUUAGUGACUGCAUCAGCUGGAAGUAACGGCAAGGAGGGGGAUGGAACUUCCGCGGUGUAGCACACGUGAACAUUGCGUAGAAUAUUGCCGGAAGGAACACACCGAUGGCGAAAGGCAAUUCCCCUUGGGGCCUUGUUACUUGGACGACUCACAUGCACAGAAAAACACCGUUGGGGGAAGCAACACGGAUAAAUACCCCUGGGUUAUACCACAC